UACGGGGGGGGUAAGCGUUGUUCGGAAUUACUGGGCGUAAAGGGCUCGUAGGCGGCCAACUAAGUCAUACGUGAAAUCCCUCAGCUUAACUGGGGAACUGCGUGUGAUACUGGAUGGCUUGGAUUUGGGAGAGGGAUGCGGAAUUCCAGGUGUAGCGGUGAAAUGCGUAGAUAUCUGGAGGAAUACCGGUGGCGAAGGCGGCAUCCUGGACCGAGAUUGACGCUGAUGAGCGAAAGCUAGGGGAGCAAACGGG
rnacentral:rRNA from 1 species